rnacentral:rRNA from 1 species
AAUGAACGCUGGCGGCAGGCCUAACACAUGCAAGUCGAACGAGUGGCGGACGGGUGAGUAAUGUCUGGGAAACUGCCCGACGGAGGGGGAUAACUACUGGAAACAGUAGCUAAUACCGCAUAACAUCGAAUGUGCCCAGAUGGGAUUAGCUAGUAGGUGGGGUAACGGCUCACAAAGGCAACGAUCCCUAGCUGGUCUGCGAGGAUGACCAGCCACACUGGAACGAGGACACGGUCCAGACUCCUACGGAAGGCAGCAGUGGGGAAUAUUGCACAAUGGGGGCAAGCUUGAUGCAGCCAUGCCGGGUGUAUGAAGAAGGCUUUCGGGUUGUAAAGUACUUUCAGCGAGGAGGCGUUACUCGCAGAAGAAGCACCGGCUAACUCCGUGCCAGCAGCCGCGGUAAUAC